AGAAACGAGGUGCCAGGCAGGAUAAAACAAGGUGGAGGACUGGAUUCGACCCCUAGGCCUUGUGUUUGCCACCUGUGACCUAUGUAGUUUGGCAUCAGUGUUGUGCCUGGGAUGCUGGUAGUGUUCUAUGCCUUGAUGUGAGUUACAUGGGUGUGUUUGUUUAUGACAAUGUGUCAAGCUGAAUACUAAUGAUAAGAUGUGUGCACGUUUCUAUGUUAUAAAGUGUUUUACCAAAAAUAAAUGAAAGACUGAGUCAUAGGCCUCCUAGGAAAACUUUUGCAGGGGACUCUUCAAGGAUGACACCCAACCAACUGAGCCACACUGGCCUGGACAGCCCACAUCAUGUCUUCUUUAGGCAGACUGACUGGGGGAAAUCUUGCCCACAGGUGUUGAUGGUGUACUUCCAUGGGAUCUCCGAGGCCACAAGAUCUUUGAUGCAG